CUGAAUGAUCACUAAACAACAACCAGAGUAAUGGAGACUCGGCCAAACUAAUGGAAAAAUUUAAAUAGCAGACAGUACAUACAGACUGCUACAGCGGGAUGUCAUCACAAAAUCGACAUGCAUUGUAUUGUAGGUUAUGGUCCAUGUAUGCUUUAAAGCAGCAAAGACUUAUUUUAAGACAAUCGUACACCUUUUAAGCUUUCGUGGGCCAACUAAAAUGCUGCUAACAUAGAAAUGCAUCACUAAGAAGAGUCUACCACUUUUGAAAUAUUUAUCUCGUUAGACAUCCACACUUUUACUUAUGCAGAGAUUUGAAUGCAGCAAAUGAAGUACUGGAGUGUUUCCACAAUGUGGUAUUGCUAUUGUUACUUAGCUCAAAAUAUUUCCUCUCAGCUUCUUGUAACCGUCUGGUGGACAAAGAAGGAAAGUUCGUCUGAGUUCAAUGAAGCAGGGAUGAUGUAAUGUCUGUCAAAGAUCUGGAGUGUCACAGAUGAAGCCCUGCUGAGACAAGUCAUCAAAACAACCAGCGAGGAAAUUGAAAGGAGAUGUCGUCUGGGUCGCAACACCUGCACCAAAGUCAUCUAUGCACAAAGUGGUCAGGUAAACUCGUUCAUCACCCCAUGGGGCCUUUAUGAGUGAGUCUGCAUCCCUUCGGCCUCUCAAAUGCCCCAGCUGCAUUCCAGAGAUGUAUGGAGUAGGUGUUGGACUCUCUAUGUAAUGAAUGUUUCAUCCCGUACCUAGAUGUGCUAUGC